CCUGGAAAGGAGAUCUACAUGUG
rnacentral:piRNA from 1 species